rnacentral:rRNA from 1 species
AGUGGAAGCGUCUGGAAAGUCGCGCAGCAAAGGGUGAUAGCCCCGUACACUAAAAUGCACAGGUCGUGAGUUCGAUGAGUAGGGCGGGACACGUGACAUCCUGUCUGAAUAUGGGGGGACCAUCCUCCAAGGCUAAAUACUCCUGACUGACCGAUAGUGAACCAGUACCGUGAGGGAAAGGCGAAAAGAACCCCGGCGAGGGGAGUGAAAUAGAACCUGAAACCGUGUACGUACAAGCAGUGGGAGCACCUUCGUGGUGUGACUGCGUACCUUUUGUAUAAUGGGUCAGCGACUUAUAUUUUGUAGCAAGGUUAACCGUAUAGGGGAGCCGUAGGGAAACCGAGUCUUAACUGGGCGAUUAGUUGCAAGGUAUAGACCCGAAACCCGGUGAUCUAGCCAUGGGCAGGUUGAAGGUUGGGUAACACUAACUGGAGGACCGAACCGACUAAUGUUGAAAAAUUAGCGGAUGACUUGUGGCUGGGGGUGAAAGGCCAAUCAAACCGGGAGAUAGCUGGUUCUCCCCGAAAGCUAUUUAGGUAGCGCCUCGUGAACUCAUCUUCGGGGGUAGAGCACUGUUUCGGCUAGGGGGCCAUCCCGGCUUACCAAACCGAUGCAAACUCCGAAUACCGAAGAAUGUUAUCACGGGAGACACACGGCGGGUGCUAACGUCCGUCGUGAAGAGGGAAACAACCCAGACCGCCAGCUAAGGUCCCAAAGUCAUGGUUAAGUGGGAAACGAUGUGGGAAGGCAUAGACAGCCAGGAUGUUGGCUUAGAAGCAGCCAUCAUUUAAAGAAAGCGUAAUAGCUCACUGGUCGAGUCGGCCUGCGCGGAAGAUGUAACGGGGCUAAACCAUGCACCGAAGCUGCGGCAGCGACGCUUAGGCGUUGUUGGGUAGGGGAGCGUUCUGUAAGCCGUUGAAGGUGGCCUGUGAGGGUUGCUGGAGGUAUCAGAAGUGCGAAUGCUGACAUAAGUAACGAUAAAGCGGGUGAAAAGCCCGCUCGCCGGAAGACCAAGGGUUCCUGUCCAACGUUAAUCGGGGCAGGGUGAGUCGACCCCUAAGGCGAGGCUGAAAAGCGUAGUCGAUGGGAAACAGGUUAAUAUUCCUGUACUUGGUGUUACUGCGAAGGGGGGACGGAGAAGGCUAGGCUGGCCGGGCGACGGUUGUCCCGGUUUAAGCGUGUAGGGGGUGUGACCUGGUAAAUCCGGUUGCAUAUCAACCCUGAGGCGUGAUGACGAUGCACUACGGUGCAGAAGUAGUUGAUGCCCUGCUUCCAGGAAAAUCCUCUAAGCUCCAGGUAACAUUAAAUCGUACCCCAAACCGACACAGGUGGUCAGGUAGAGAAUACCAAGGCGCUUGAGAGAACUCGGGUGAAGGAACUAGGCAAAAUGGUGCCGUAACUUCGGGAGAAGGCACGCUGGCAUGUAGGUGAAGUCCCUNGCGGAUGGAGCUGAAGCCAGUCGAAGAUACCAGCUGGCUGCAACUGUUUAAUAAAAACACAGCACUGUGCAAACACGAAAGUGGACGUAUACGGUGUGACGCCUGCCCGGUGCUGGAAGGUUAAUUGAUGGGGUCAGCCGCAAGGCGAAGCUCUUGAUCGAAGCCCCAGUAAACGGCGGCCGUAACUAUAACGGUCCUAAGGUAGCGAAAUUCCUUGUCGGGUAAGUUCCGACCUGCACGAAUGGCGUAAUGAUGGCCAGGCUGUCUCCACCCGAGACUCAGUGAAAUUGAACUCGCUGUGAAGAUGCAGUGUACCCGCGGCAAGACGGAAAGACCCCGUGAACCUUUACUAUAGCUUGACACUGAACAUUGAGCCUUGAUGUGUAGGAUAGGUGGGAGGCUUUGAAGCGUGGACGCCAGUCUGCGUGGAGCCAUCCUUGAAAUACCACCCUUUAAUGUUUGAUGUUCUAACUCGGCC